GCUGGCGGCGUGGAUAAGACAUGCAAGUCGAGCGAGAUUUUUUCCUGUAGCAAUACAGGGAAAAGUCUAGCGGCGAACGGGUGCUUAACACGUGGGCAACCUGCCAAGAAGUGGGGGAUAGCUCGCCGAAAGGCGAAUUAAUACCGCAUGUGAUCAGAGUGGACAUCCAUUCGAAAUCAAAGUCGGGGCAACCUGACGCUUCUUGAGGGGCCCGCGGCCUAUCAGCUAGUUGGUGAGGUAACGGCCCACCAAGGCUUAGACGGGUAGCUGGUCUGAGAGGACGACCAGCCACACUGGGACUGAGACACGGCCCAGACACCUACGGGUGGCAGCAGUCGAGAAUUUUUCUCAAUGGGGGAAACCCUGAAGGAGCGACGCCGCGUGGAGGAUGAAGGUCUUCGGAUUGUAAACUCCUGUCAUUGGGGAACAAUGCGUAAAUAUUAACUGUAUUUGCGUUGAUAGUACCCGAAGAGGAAGAGACGGCUAACUCUGUGCCAGCAGCCGCGGUAAUACAGAGGUCUCAAGC
rnacentral:rRNA from 1 species